GAAACCGCGAAUGGCUCAUUAAAUCAGUUAUGGUUCCUUAGAUCGUUUCUUCCUACUUGGAUAACUGUGGCAAUUCUAGAGCUAAUACAUGCAGUGAGCCUGGAGCCCUUUGGGUAACGGGUGCUUUUAUUAGACCAAGAUCGAUCGGGUUUCGGCCCGUAUUGUGUGGUGACUCUGGAUAACUUUGUGCUGAUCGCAUGGCCACGAGCCGGCGACGUUUCUUUCAAGUGUCUGCCUUAUCAACUUUCGAUGGUAGGUUACUUGCUUACCAUGGUUGUUACGGGUAACGGAGAAUCAGGGUUCGAUUCCGGAGAGGGAGCCUGAGAAACGGCUACCACAUCCAAGGAAGGCAGCAGGCGCGCAAAUUACCCACUCCCGGCACGGGGAGGUAGUGACGAAAAAUAACAAUACGGGACUCUUUUGAGGCCCCGUAAUUGAAAUGAGUACACUCUAAAUCCUUUAACGAGGAUCAAUUGGAGGGCAAGUCUGGUGCCAGCAGCCGCGGUAAUUCCAGCUCCAAUAGCGUAUACUAAAGCUGCUGCGGUUAAAAAGCUCGUAGUUGGAUCUCAGUUCCAGACGAGUAGUGCAUCUACCCGAUGCGACGGCUCGGACUGAACAUCAUGCCGGUUCUUUCUUGGUGCACUUCAUUGUGUGCCUCGAGAUGGCCGGUGCUUUUACUUUGAAAAAAUUAGAGUGCUCAACGCAGGCGAGUCGCCUGAAUAAACUUGCAUGGAAUAAUAGAACAAGACCUCGUUUCUGUUCUGUUGGUUUUUGGAAUACGAGGUAAUGAUUAAGAGGGACGGACGGGGGCAUUCGUAUUGCGGCGCUAGAGGUGAAAUUCUUGGACCGUCGCAAGACGAACUACUGCGAAAGCAUUUGCCAAGAAUGUUUUCAUUGAUCAAGAACGAAAGUCAGAGGUUCGAAGGCGAUCAGAUACCGCCCUAGUUCUGACCAUAAACGAUGCCAACCAGCGAUCCGCCUGAGUUACUCAAAUGACUCGGCGGGCAGCUUCCGGGAAACCAAAGUAUUUGGGUUCCGGGGGAAGUAUGGUUGCAAAGCUGAAACUUAAAGGAAUUGACGGAAGGGCACCACCAGGAGUGGAGCCUGCGGCUUAAUUUGACUCAACACGGGAAAACUUACCCGGCCCGGACACUGGGAGGAUUGACAGAUUGAGAGCUCUUUCUUGAUUCGGUGGAUGGUGGUGCAUGGCCGUUCUUAGUUGGUGGAGCGAUUUGUCUGGUUAAUUCCGAUAACGAACGAGACUCUAGCCUAUUAAAUAGGUGCGGGGUUCCCAGCACCUUACAACCUUCUUAGAGGGACAAGCGGCUCCUAGCCGCACGAAACAGAGCAAUAACAGGUCUGUGAUGCCCUUAGAUGUCCGGGGCCGCACGCGCGCUACACUGAAGGAAGCAGCGUGUCUUUAUCCCUGUCUGAAAAGACUGGGUAACCCGUGGAACUUCUUUCGUGAUUGGGAUAGGGGCUUGCAAUUGUUCCCCUUGAACGAGGAAUUCCCAGUAAGCGCGAGUCAUAAGCUCGCGUUGAUUACGUCCCUGCCCUUUGUACACACCGCCCGUCGCUACUACCGAUUGAAUGAUUUAGUGAGGUCUUCGGACCGAUGUCCGGCGCGGCCUUUCGGUUGCGCCGGUCUGUUGGAAAGAUGACCAAACUUGAUCAUUUAGAGGAAGUAAAAGUC
rnacentral:rRNA from 1 species